rnacentral:rRNA from 1 species
UACGGAGGGUGCAAGCAUUAAUCGGAUUCAUUGGGCAUAAAGGGCGCGUAGGCGGGAAAAUAAGUCAGAUGUGAAAUCCCGGAGCUCAACUCCGGAACAGCAUUUGAAACUGUUUUUCUAGAGGGUAGGCGGAGAAAACGGAAUUCCACAAGUAGCGGUGAAAUGCGUAGAUAUGUGGAAGAACACCAGUGGCGAAGGCGGUUUUCUAGCUUACACCUGACGCUGAGGCGCGAAAGCAAGGGGAUCAAACAGG